CUGUCCCAACCAGAAAGAACUGCCCAUGGGAGGCCAGAUAUGAAAAAUCCACUGCAAAAUAAUACCCCCACACAGGCUUGGGUGAUGUGGGAGAGAUAGCUUUCGCAGAGGUCCCAAAGAAUGGUCCAGAAACCUGCCAGAUGUAGGCGGAAGAAGCAGCAAGUGGCUGUACAGUAGACAGCGACUGACACUGGAAUGUGCUUUAGCAGUGUGGAAAUGUCCAAAAUUUGUCAUCUAGGGAGCCAUGCUGGAGCUGUGAUCAUCUGAAAUCCAAGGCGACAGCAACACAACAUCAUAAACAUGAUUAACAGCUGUAACAUCUGAUCACAGGUCACGAGGGCAGCAGACUAAGCAGACGUCCUUCUCCCCAGCCCCGUCCUCCAGCUCCUCCUGGGGAUCGCAAUGCGUUCCCAGGCCAGAAAGGAUCUAUAACCCCUCCAGCUUGUUCUGGGUCUGCCCUGGGGAAUGUUUCCCAGUUAGACAUGCCUCAAAUACCUCCAUAGGAAGAUUACCAGGAGGCAUCUGCCUCAUCUGUCUCUUCACAGCACAAAAGGAGCAGCGGUUCAAUUCAGAGCUCCCUCUGGAUGUCUGAGAUCCUCACCCUGUCCCUGAGGGUGAGCCCUAGACACCCUGCAAAGGAAACUUAUUUUUGGCUAUUUCAUGUUGGAAUAUAUAUCAACCAAGCAAGAGUCUCACUUUUAGGCUCAGCUCCUUCUACCAAAUAUUAGUGAGGCUGCAGUUCACAGUGUGAUGAUUCAAGUACGGCUUAAUCAGUGGCAAAAAGCACAGAUCUACAUUUAAUGCAUAGGUCAUCUGAUUUAUUUUGGAACCUCUAGCCAUGGGCAUAGGAAGCAUUGCAAGUGUAGGUGAUACUUUUAUCUGGCUAUACUAGCAUUAACAAAAGGAUGGGUAGCCUACA